rnacentral:rRNA from 1 species
UGGGGAAUUUUGGACAAUGGGCGCAAGCCUGAUCCAGCCAUGCCGCGUGCGGGAAGAAGGCCUUCGGGUUGUAAACCGCUUUUGUCAGGGAAGAAAUCUUCUGAGUUAAUACCUCGGGAGGAUGACGGUACCUGAAGAAUAAGCACCGGCUAACUACGUGCCAGCAGCCGCGGUAAUACGUAGGGUGCAAGCGUUAAUCGGAAUUACUGGGCGUAAAGCGUGCGCAGGCGGUUUUGUAAGACAGAGGUGAAAUCCCCGGGCUCAACCUGGGAACUGCCUUUGUGACUGCAAGGCUUGAGUGCGGCAGAGGGGGAUGGAAUUCCGCGUGUAGCAGUGAAAUGCGUAGAUAUGCGGAGGAACACCGAUGGCGAAGGCAACCCCCUGGGCCUGCACUGACGCUCAUGCACGAAAGCGUGGGGAGCAAAACAGGAUUAGAUACCCUGGUAGUCCACGCCCUAAACGAUGUCAACUGGUUGUUGGGAAGGUUCCUUCUCAGUAACGUAGCUAACGCGUGAAGUUGACCGCCUGGGGAGUACGGCCGCAAGGUUGAAACUUAAAUGAAUUGACGGGGUCAUAGCUGUUUCCUG